rnacentral:lncRNA from 1 species
CAAGAAUGUUUCGGUGACAUUCCAGAUCCAAACUUUAAAUUGUGAUGUCACCCAUCUGAAAUCUUGGAUAAAAGGAUACAGCCUGUAAUGCUCUCAAGCUGUCUGAACCAUGAGCCAUCUCUCUGGCUUUUCAGAGCCUCUUCGUAAGAGCUGCUCUCUGUGAAACUCCUUAUGGCAACGCUGUCGAGAAGCAAAGACGCCUGCGGAUGAUUUCUGUUGCGAAGUAUGAGCAUUAGAUGCGGCCUUUGUGUGCUUCUCAUGCAAUGCAACCCACAGUGUUUGAGUGGUCCCAAGGACAGGGACAAUACGUCAGAGGAAGCAGUUGCAAGUUUCAGAAGCUUUGCUUAAAUUGAUGUCAGAAGAACCAUAACUAGAGAAUGGAAGGAGAAGGAACUUGCCGUCACCUGAAGCUUAAACGUAUGAGUUUCCUGAAGGCACCUCUGUAGCCAGGCACUGUUCAACAGCGAGAAUAAACCAAGAAAAAGAAAGUUGGAAAAUAUGGUUAUAGUCUCAGGCUGGAACUGUGGGGAUGGUGCUUUUUUUUUUAACAUGAUGAGUUUUUUUACUA